UUCCCCUAGUAACGGCGAGUGAAGCGGGAUGAGCUCAAAUUUAAAAUCUGGCUGGUUUACUAGUCCGAAUUGUAGUUUAAAGAAGCGUUUUCGGUGGCAGCCUGGGUAUAAAUCCUUUGGAACAGGGUAUCAUAGAGGGUGAGAAUCCCGUCUUUGACUCAGUGCAUGCUACUAUGUGAUACGUUUUCAAAGAGUCGAGUUGUUUGGGAAUGCAGCUCAAAAUGGGUGGUAAAUUUCAUCUAAAGCUAAAUAUUGGCGAGAGACCGAUAGCGAACAAGUACCGUGAGGGAAAGAUGAAAAGAACUUUGAAAAGAGAGUUAAACAGUGCGUGAAAUUGUUGAAAGGGAAACGCUUGACACCAGUCAUGCGAGCGGAAAAUCAGUCUUUUGCAGUGGGGAGUUGUGUGGGUUCGGACCGCAAGGCCGGCCUGCGCUGCAUCUCUGCUGUAAGUGAUGCACUUUUUCGUUUGCAGGCCAACAUCAGUUUCUUCUGCUGGACAAAACUCUUGAGAAGGUGGCAGCUUAGGCUGUGUUAUAGCUCUUGAGCGAUACAGUGGAGGGGACUGAGGUUUUCGCAGCGCGUGCUUUCGGGCAAGGCUGAUUGGGUGCUAUGGGAUCGUUCGGUGUACAAUGCAUGCAUUUUGCGCCGUGUCUUUUCUAUACUCGCUCAACUCGGCUCUUCCGCGCUUAGGAUGUUGGCUUAAUGGUUUUAAUCGACCCGUCUUGAAACACGGACCAAGGAGUCUAACAUAUAUGCAAGUGUUUGGGUGGCAAACCCAUGCGCGUAAUGAAAGUGAACGUAGGUGCGAUCCGCAAGGUGCAGCAUCGACCGAUCUUGAUAUUUUUGGAUAGAUUUGAGUAAGAGCAUAUAUGCUGGGACCCGAAAGAUGGUGAACUAUGCCUGAAUAGGGUGAAGCCAGAG
rnacentral:rRNA from 1 species